GCCAGGCAUGGGGGUGUGUGCCUGUGGUCCCAGUUACUCAGUAGGCUGAGGCAGGAGGAUUGCUUGAGCCCAGGGGUUUGAGGCUGCAGUGAACUGUGACUCUACCACUGCACUCCAGCCUGGGCAACAGAGCAAGACCCUGUCUCAA
rnacentral:SRP_RNA from 1 species